UACGAAGGGGGCUAGCGUUGCUCGGAAUCACUGGGCGUAAAGCGCACGUAGGCGGCUUUUUAAGUCAGAGGUGAAAUCCUGGAGCUCAACUCCAGAACUGCCUUUGAUACUGGAGAGCUUGAGUCCGGGAGAGGUGAGUGGAACUGCGAGUGUAGAGGUGAAAUUCGUAGAUAUUCGCAAGAACACCAGUGGCGAAGGCGGCUCACUGGCCCGGUACUGACGCUGAGGAGCGAAAGCAUGGGGAGCGAACGAGGA
rnacentral:rRNA from 1 species